UAUAAAUCCAGAUGGCGGUGGAUGUACUUUUACAACUGGGUAUAGUGUUGAAAAUAUACAUGAAUCCACAGCAGCAUUUGGC
rnacentral:misc_RNA from 1 species